rnacentral:misc_RNA from 1 species
UAAUUAUAAUAUAUAGGGAGAGAGAUAAAGUGAUGGAGAGAAAGGGAGAGAUAAUUAAAUAUAAUCUCUUUGCCUCAUCUCUCCCUGUCACUUUGUCUCUCCCUCUGUGUCUUCUUCUCUCUCUCCAUUUGUCUCUCCCUUUCUCCCUUCCUAUUUGUGUCUCUCUCCAUUAAUCUCUCAAUCUUUCCACUUCUUUCUCCCUUUAUCCUUCUCUUUGACGCUCUGUCUCUCUCCCUUUUUCCCUUUUCUAUCUCCUCAUUGUCAUCUCUCUCUUUCUUUUGUUUUCCUUAUUGUCUCUCCCCUGUCCAUCUCUCUUUAUAUUUCUUAAAGGAAUGUUCAAAAUUCAAAAUAAGUUGCAAGAUUCACAUAUUCAAAAAGAAAGAGAGACGAAAAUGGGAAGAGAGAGGAGAGAUAGACAAAGUGAAAGGAAGAGAGAGAGAGAGAGA